rnacentral:tRNA from 1 species
AAAAAGAUAAGCUAAUAUAAGCUAAUGGUAUCAUAUCUCAUUUAUGAAUUUUAUUCUCUUUUUA